UCAGGCUGGAGAGAUGACAGGCCAUUUGAUAGUAGAGGAUCUGUAACCUGGCCUUAUCAUCUUGGGAAGUUUCUCAGGUUUCAUCUCUACAAAGAGAACAAGGACACCCAGGAGGCACUAAGAGUUAUAGGAAAAAUGUUAGGGCUUCAGCCACGAUCUUUUAGGAUUGCAGGGACAAAGGAUAAACGUGCUAUUACAACCCAGCAGGUAACACUUUUCAAGGUACAUGCCAGUAGGUUGGCUGCUCUAAAUAAUAAACUCACUGGCAUUAAAGUUGGAGAUUUUAAUUAUGUAAAGGAGGGCCUUGUUCUUGGUCAACUCAUGGGAAACCGAUUCACAAUUACCUUAAGGAGUGUUAUCGCAGAAUCAGAAGACAUGAUUAAGGUAGCUGUUGAUGGAUUGAUAAAAAAUGGGUUUAUCAAUUACUACGGUCUGCAGCGUUUUGGUAGUGCUUCAGUACCAACUCAUCUCGUUGGUGCUGCUUUGCUUAGAGGAGAGUGGAGAAGUGCUGUUAGCUUGAUUCUUGAUCCAAGGGAAGGAGAGUGUGAUGACAUGAAUGGGGUGAGGGAACAUUACAAGGAACAUGGUGAUAUUGAUGUGGCAAUUAGGAAUUUUCCUCGGCGUCUCAUAGCAGAGAGGGCUAUCCUUCAGCGUUUGAAGAAGUACCCUGGCAACUAUCUACAAGCACUAAUGGCUAUACCUAGAACACUGAGACUGAUGUAUGUACAUAGUUACCAGAGUUAUCUAUGGAACCAUGCUGCGAGUAUGAGAGCUGGAAUGUAUGGUUUAUCAGGGGUCAUAGAAGGUGACUUGGUAUACAAAAAAGAAUGCCCUGGAGAAGGAACUGUAACAGAUGCUUCAGAAAAUAAUGAUGACCACACCAACGCAUCUGAAAUGGACAUAUUUGCUGAAACACUUCCGGAAGAAACGAUCCAGUCUGUCAAGAUAGCUGAUUCUGAAGAUUUAUUGAAGGCAGUGUACACACUCGAGGAUGUUGUCCUUCCUUUGCCUGGCUCAGAAACAUUGUUUCCUGGAAAUGAAGUUGCUGGGAUUUACCAUGAAAUAGCUAACAAGGAUGGUAUUAGCCUGACAGAGAGCAUCCAUGGAGUCAAGGAAUUCUCGAUUACAAGCAUGAAAGGAGGUUACCGUCGUGUAUUACAACGACCUAUUGACUGUGAAUGGGACCUCAUGACUUACACAGAUGACAAAAUACACUUAGUGGAGACUGACUUAGAUGUUCUAUCCAAAGCCAAGCCAUCUGAAGUAAAUGAACUAUUAUCUACAGGGGCGUCACAUGAUGAUUCAUUGGACACCUCUGGAGCAACCAUCCUAGCAGAGACCGAAUCUAUUGGCAGCUCAGAUCUGUUACCAGAGCUUGCCGUAAAAUUAAGUUUUACUCUACCGACAUCAUCUUAUGCUACGAUGGCUAUCAGGGAGCUGACGAAGACUUCAACUUCGGUAUUUCUCUAA
rnacentral:rRNA from 1 species